AUGCCAGUUCAAUGUAUCUGCUCAACUUGAAAGUGUUUUGCAGAGCAUGUUUUAAAAUGACACUGGUAAAGUAAAGCCACAGUACGAGCCUUGAGGACUUUGUUGUCUUUGAGGUCCCAAAGAGAUGGCUACAUCU
rnacentral:snoRNA from 1 species